CUCUUAAGACUGUUUUAUUUUGUUCUAUUUUCAAAGAAAACAGAUUUAGAAGAGUGUAAGCAUAAAUUUUUGCAACCUACUCUUAAUAAGAGUUCAACCUCUCCUCUAGCCUACCACACAGCAGAGGUAGUGGAAGGGAAACGUUAUUAGGAUAUGGGAAAUUGGAUCUGGUCAGCAAUAGUUCUUUUGAGGCGAGCUCAGUCUUUUUGGCCAGCAGUUCAGUCUUGUAGCAAACACCAAAUACAACUCAGCAGCUGCAGACCAGUCCUCUCGGGCAGGCAGACACCACACACGAACCAUCAGCUGCAGUCCAGUCCUUUCUGCAGGUGACACCAGGCACAAACCCAGCAACUGUAGUUCAAUCCUGAAGAAACUGCAAGGCUUGCCACCUGGCCUGAGGCAAGGCUGCUGCAAGGGACAAGAUGCUAGAGGAACCUCACAAACAGUCCUUGGGAUGCACUGACCUAUGAUGAUGUGUAUGUGAACUUCACUCAAGAAGAAUGGGCUUUGCUAAAUCCUUCACAGAAGAGUCUCUACAAAGAUGUGAUGUUGGAGACCUACAGGAACCUCAAUGCUGUAGGCUACAAUUGGGAAGACAGUAAUAUUGAAGAACAUUGUGAAAGCUCCAGAAGACAUGGAAGGUAAUUUUCAUGUGCAAAUGCUAUGAAUUUGCCUCUGAAGAAAUGUUCAUGUGUCCUGGUACUUUAAAAGAAAAGCAACAGUGAAAAAAAAAAAAGCACUUCUUUAAGUGUAUUGAUUAUUAAAUUUUUACAAAUGCACGUACAUCAAUGCCAGGUGUCUCAUUUGUGUUUAAAGGCAUUUUUCUUUAAGAUAAGACAAGGAAACAAUACCUUAACUAAUAUUACCAUUUGACUAAUAGCCACAUUCCAGCUACUCUGUUGUAUUGCCAAACUAGUCUCAUACCACUCACAUUGCCAUAUAUAUAUUGCCAAGAUAUAUAUUUCGUGAUAAGUAUAUGUUCCCAAUAAGCAAAUGUUCCAUAGUAAAGCUAAUUACUCAUAUAAUAGCAUUGCUAAAUUUAAGUGAGUGGGGCAGUUUAUGAGAGUCAGGAAUGUUGUUGAAGAGAAACCUAUGAUGAACAAACAGCCAAAUUGCUUGAAUGCAAUGUGGAAAUCUUUCAUUUGCUAUUCUUUUUUUUAAUAGGUAUAUCCUGUGUCACAAUGGAUACAAGCCGUGUGAGCAUAGGGAUAUUGAAAUAAGCAAUGUACCUCUCUCUCUCCCAGAAUAAUUGAAAUGAAUGUAGUAGUCCACACUUGAGCAAACUUUCUCAGUGUGAUACAAGUUUAUAAAUGGUUGGUUUUCCAUCUUUAGUGGACUAUAUCCAUAAACUCGCACUGUAGAAAAUCCUUUUGAGUACUAGGAUUCUGGACCUUAUUAUCUGUUUGUACUGGUUUUCCUUUGCCAAUAUAGUGUGAAAAUAUAGUGUAUUUCACAAUAUAGGAAAUUUAUGUAUAUACUCAGUAUGGUAAAGCUCUGAGCUCUUGCAUUUCUCUUAAAAUUUGUGAAAAAUCUCAUAGAGAAAAAUGACGC